CAGAGGUGGCAAGCGUUGUUCGGAAUUACUGGGCGUAAAGGGCGCGUAGGCGGCCAUCUAAGUCAGACGUGAAAUCCCCGGCUUAACCUGGGAACUGCGUCUGAUACUGGACGGCUCGAGUUUGGGAGAGGGAUGUGGAAUUCCAGGUGUAGCGGUGAAAUGCGUAGAUAUCUGGAGGAACACCGGUGGCGAAGGCGGCAUCCUGGACCAACACUGACGCUGAGGCGCGAAAGCUAGGGGAGCAAACGGGAUUAGAUACCCCGGUAGUCCUAGCCCUAAACGAUGAAUGCUUGGUGUGGCGGGUAUCGAUCCCUGCCGCGCCGAAGCUAACGCAUUAAGCAUUCCGCCUGGGGAGUACGGUCGCAAGGCUG
rnacentral:rRNA from 1 species